UUGAAUGUUGAAUGUUUGAAUUUUACCAAAAUGAAGCUCGUUUAACCGCAUGUUUAUUCCUUACAUAAUACAUAUUAAACGCAAAGCAUGUAGGGGUUCUACAUGCAUAUAGUAUUUGCACAAUCAAUAACCUAUUCGAGUAAUACAUUGUCGUAUAUAAACUUGAUUUUGUGUUUGUGUCUGCAGUGUCCAAAGCCCAGGCUGACCCCCCACACCUUCAACCUUUGCAGCAAUGCUGGCAGCACUAUUUCCCAAAGACAACCUCUGGAUAUGACGCUGAGCACGUGCAAUCAACUUCUUCUUUGGUCGACCAUGGCGAGGCCUGUUCUGAGUGGAACCUGUCCUGUUAAACCGCUGUAUGGUCUUGGCCACCGUGCUGCAGCUCAGUGUCAGGGUCUUGUGCCCAAAGCCCGUGGUGGUGGCAGUGCAUGGCGUUUGUGUGGAAGCAGGAGUGGAUCUAAUCACAGUCUGUGAUAUUCGUCUGUGCACACAGGAUGCCUGGUUUCAGGUGAAGUCGUGUGUUCCCUGAUAGUCCAUGAUUGCUGGAGCUCUGGAAAUAGCAGGUGAGAUUGCAGGCCGGAGUCGCGUCGCUGUCCAAGGAACCAAAAUCAACCUCCUCUACUCCUGAGACCACAGUGUGACUGAGAGCCUAGACUACAUGGCUACUUGGAACAUGAACAUGUUGCAGACACAGGAUCUUAUGAAGUCAGCGCGGGCAGCCCUGGAAAAGAAGAGUCCGAAAGACGUGCCCUUCUCCAAGCUUUAAAGGAGAAGAUCCAGGGCUGUUGAAGCUGCGGUGGAACUGAGACAUCAUCAUCCACAUAUCUUCAGUUCUUCUUGCUAAGUCUGUUUCUUUUUAGUCUUUUUAUUUUUAGACUGGUCAAAAGACUGAUUAGUGGAAGUGAAAUGAUAGAUGAACUUUUAAUUAUUUGCUUUAUUAUUUGCAGGUGCCUUGUACAGUAAGACAGGGUAACUAAUACUCAAAAGCUUGUUUUGUGUGUUAACAUAUACAGUAGAUGGACAUAUUUUUUCUGGUGCUGUGACUGCAGAAUGUAGUGCAGUUAACACAGUAAAUUUCCUUGGAUGCUCACUUUUAACUCGAGGAGGUCACAGUUUGCCCAGACAUCGUUUUUUAAAUCCGUCAAUCCGUCACCCACACGUCAUUCUGGGGGACGAAGAGGAGGAAGCUGGACAGAUAAAUUUAUUUAUUUAUUUAUCAUUGCUGUGUUUCCUCAAUCGAGUGCAGAAAGAAGAAAAACAACACAACUGAUUUAAAAUAAAAAUAUAGAAAACAAUCUAAUGUAAGGUUCUGAUCCGGUUUGCUUUCAGCAGGAAGGCUGUCCUCUUUCCUGUUGCUCUUUCUCUUCUAUUAGUCCAUUUGUCCAGUCUGAAUCGGUUUUGAUUCGUUUCGAGACGAUUCGGAGUCGAAUAAUUUUCUAGUGAGAGUCGCACACUUCCAAACGAACUAGACUGAGAUGAGUAUUUGA